rnacentral:lncRNA from 1 species
GGGGAUAUAACUUCUACCAUGUUAAAGAAUAAGAGUUGUUCGAUAUUUCUUUUAGAAAAAGAGUACCUUGGUGAAAGAAUUGAUACCUUUAAUAUGGAAUUUAUGAAGUUCGACAGGUAGAAGAACCGACACAAUCUAGUGAACCCAUAGAAUCGAAUUUGAUUAGAUCAAAUCUAGAACCCAUUAUAGAAGCACCAUUAAGAAGAUAAGGUAGAGUACCACAUCUGU